UCCGGUUUGUCACCGGCAGUCCCAUUAGAGUGCUCAACUAAAUGUCGCAACUAAUGGCAAGGGUUGCGCUCGUUGCGGGACUUAACCCAACAUCUCACGACACGAGCUGACGACAGCCAUGCAGCACCUGUGUUAGCGCUUCCUUUCGGACACCCCGAUGUCUCCACCGGGUUCGCUACAUGUCAAGGGUAGGUAAGGUUUUUCGCGUUGCAUCGAAUUAAUCCACAUAAUCCACCGCUUGUGCGGGUCCCCGUCAAUUCCUUUGAGUUUUAAUCUUGCGACCGUACUCCCCAGGCGGUCAACUUCACGCGUUAGCUGCGUUACCGAGGAAUUGCUCCCCCGACAACUAGUUGACAUCGUUUAGGGCGUGGACUAC
rnacentral:misc_RNA from 1 species